UACGUAGGGUGCGAGCGUUAAUCGGAAUUACUGGGCGUAAAGCGUGCGCAGGCGGUUCGUUGUGUCGGUGGUGAAAGCCCCGGGCUUAACCUGGGAAUGGCAUUUGGGACUGCAAGGCUUGAGUGCGGCAGAGGAGACUGGAAUUCCUGGUGUAGCAGUGAAAUGCGUAGAUAUCAGGAGGAAUACCGAUGGCGAAGGCAGGUCUCUGGGCUGACACUGACGCUCAUGCACGAAAGCGUGGGGAGCAAACAGG
rnacentral:rRNA from 1 species